GACGAACGCUGGCGGCGUGCUUAACACAUGCCAGUCGAACGGAAAGGCCCUGCUUUUGUGGGGUGCUCGAGUGGCGAACGGGUGAGUAACACGUGAGUAACCUGCCCUUGACUUUGGGAUAACUUCAGGAAACUGGGGCUAAUACCGGAUAGGCGCUCCUGCUGCAUGGUGGGGGUGGGAAAGUUUCGGUGGUUGGGGAUGGACUCGCGGCUUAUCAGCUUGUUGGUGGGGUAGUGGCUUACCAAGGCUUUGACGGGUAGCCGGCCUGAGAGGGUGACCGGCCACAUUGGGACUGAGAUACGGCCCAGACUCCUACGGGAGGCAGCAGUGGGGAAUAUUGCACAAUGGGCGGAAGCCUGAUGCAGCAACGCCGCGUGCGGGAUGACGGCCUUCGGGUUGUAAACCGCUUUCGCCUGUGACGAAGCGUGAGUGACGGUAAUGGGUAAAGAAGCACCGGCUAACUACGUG
rnacentral:rRNA from 1 species